GGGAAGUUGAAAGCAAAUCCCAGAUAUCAGAUGAUUUCGUGUGGAAUGACUGCACAGGAUCCUCCAGUGAUUCGUGUGCACAUUGAAGUUCAAGAGGCUCUGCUCCAGAUGCUAUCAUCAUUCUCCUAAUUUUAUGGUUGAGGAAGCUGAGGCUCCGAUGGGGAAGAAGAUGGAGAGGCAUUGGCUGGAGGGGAGAGUUCAGGUACUUAAGAAUGUUGAACUUCUUUCGUUAGCAGAGGAAGCAGGGCCUUCGUGGCAUUAAGAACAUUGUGUGAUGUCACCAGGCUGGGAAGGGCUGGGCUGCACUGCAGCUGAGGUUCAGUCUACCCACCGGUAAGUGAGACAGGCAGACUUGGUUCUCUUUAAAGUCUCUUCCAGCUCUGACAUUCUGGACAUUCGAAAGGUCAGGGGAAAAGAUGC